AGAGUUUGAUCCUGGCUCAGAACGAACGCUGGCGGCGUGCUUAACACAUGCAAGUCGAACGAGAAAGUUUCCUUCGGGAAGCGAGUAGAGUGGCGCACGGGUGAGUAACGCGUAGAUAAUCUAUCCUUAUAUUUGGGAUAACAUUGGGAAACUGGUGCUAAUACCGGAUACCCUUCAUUUCUGCCGGGUUAUGGAGGAAAGGUGGCCUCUUCAUGAAAGCUACCGUAUAGGGAUGAGUCUGCGUACCAUUAGCUAGUAGGUGGGGUAAUGGCCCACCUAGGCUACGAUGGUUAGCGGGUCUGAGAGGAUGAUCCGCCACACUGGAACUGGAACACGGACCAGACUCCUACGGGAGGCAGCAGUGAGGAAUAUUGCGCAAUGGGGGAAACCCUGACGCAGCGACGCCGCGUGAGUGAGGAAGGUUUUCGGAUCGUAAAGCUCUGUCAGAAGGGAAGAAGUGUUAUAUGGUUAACACCCGUAUAAUUUGACGUACCUUCAGAGAAGCACCGCUAACU
rnacentral:rRNA from 1 species